rfam:Rattus norvegicus chromosome 14, whole genome shotgun sequence.
GGGGAUUUAGCUCAGUGGUAGAGCGCUUGCCUACGAAGCACAAGGCCCUGGGUUCGGAACCCAGCUCCG